AUGGGGUGGGUGAUCAGAGCUCAUGGGCAAGGGCUGCCCCGUGCCUGGGCUGGGCACCCAGCGAGGCUUCAGCCGGGCUCUGGUGUGCUGGGGAACCCGUCACCAGCCACUGCUGAAGCCCUGCACGCCUUUCCCCUUCUCCCUGGGGAUGGUGCGUCCCUGACCCUGUGCCCCACAGUCCCCACUCUUUGCUCUGACACCCCGUCCCCUUGGGAUGGGACCUGGCAUGCGGGUAGCAGAUGUGUCGGUGUCCCUGCUGCAGGACUGGCGCUCCUUGGUGCCCCGGCAAUCGUCUCUGCAUUGGGGUUUAAGGCGGGCGGCGUCACUGCGGGGUCCGCGGCUGCCAAGAUGAUGUCGGCGGCUGCCAUAGCCACCAGCGGAGGAGUGGCUGCCGGCAGCAUCGUGGCCGUGCUGCCGUGGCUCGGAGCCGCAGGACUCUCUGCUGGUGCCCAAGUGGGGCUGACAUCAAUCCUGGGGACACUCGGUGGAGCAGUUGGUGCCAUUUGUUUUAGGGGAGCACAGCUCCAGGUGGCAAACCCAAGGAAUGCCAGGAGGCAGCGGACGGCACUGGGAAGAGCCCCGCCAGCCCAGCAGCUCCUCUGCAGCCGCGCAGGGAGCUGCCGACACGCUUGAGCAUUUAGCAUAUGGAAAAUAAUAAAAAUGGCUUUGCAGGUGAUGUGUCGUGGUGGCUUGUGUGUGUCUGUGUCAGGGGAUGUGGUGGUUUUUCUUAAAUCUGCUCUCACAGAGGUGCAAACAACAUCACUUAUUGGCCCAGCUCCAGCCAGCGGCGGGGCCUUUAUCCACCAUUUGGCAGCUUCUGGAUUCUUCUCACAGAAGCCACCCCUCUGCCCCUCACCCCAAAAACCUAGCCAAAUAAACCUUCUACAGGGUGGGAGAGGGGCUCCCAUGCAGUGGCGCCUCAGCUGCCUUGGACCUUCACGUUUCUUCCUUCAUGCUCAGCUGGUGGUGACCGCAAUAACGCAGGGAUGAGCGGUGCGUGGAUCCUGCCCCACCCAGCACGAGGCAUGGCCGCAGGUUCACGAGGUUGUGCAGGAGGAGGUUGGGGUUUAGGGCUUCCAACUCGUGAAUUCCAAAGAGCUGUAAAAUGCCAUUGCUGUGCUGACACACCAGGGAGAAUUUCAGUUUCCCCGUGCCUGAAUCAGAGGGUUGUGUGACUGACCUGCUGUGCCCAGAGGGGCUCUGCUUGUCUGACCUGGGAACAGCGGCAAGAACCCCACUAUUUAAGGAGC
rnacentral:lncRNA from 1 species